rnacentral:rRNA from 1 species
UACGUAGGUGGCAAGCGUUGUCCGGAUUUACUGGGUGUAAAGGGCGUGCAGCCGGAGAGACAAGUCAGAUGUGAAAUCCACGGGCUCAACCCGUGAACUGCAUUUGAAACUGUUUCCCUUGAGUGUCGGAGAGGUAAUCGGAAUUCCUUGUGUAGCGGUGAAAUGCGUAGAUAUAAGGAAGAACACCAGUGGCGAAGGCGGAUUACUGGACUAUAACUGACGGUGAGGCGCGAAAGCGUGGGGAGCAAACAGG